UUAAGCGACUAAGCGUACACGGUGGAUGCCCUGGCAGUCAGAGGCGAUGAAGGACGUGCUAAUCUGCGAUAAGCGUCGGUAAGGUGAUAUGAACCGUUAUAACCGGCGAUUUCCGAAUGGGGAAACCCAGUGUGUUUCGACACACUAUCAUUAACUGAAUCCAUAGGUUAAUGAGGCGAACCGGGGGAACUGAAACAUCUAAGUACCCCGAGGAAAAGAAAUCAACCGAGAUUCCCCCAGUAGCGGCGAGCGGACGGGGAGCAGCCCAGAGCCUGAAUCAGUGUGUGUGUUAGUGGAAGCGUCUGGAAAGGCGUGCGAUACAGGGUGACAGCCCCGUACACAAAAAUGCACAUAUUGUGAGCUCGAUGAGUAGGGCGGGACACGUGGUAUCCUGUCUGAAUAUGGGGGGACCAUCCUCCAAGGCUAAAUACUCCUGACUGACCGAUAGUGAACCAGUACCGUGAGGGAAAGGCGAAAAGAACCCCGGCGAGGGGAGUGAAAAAGAACCUGAAACCGUGUACGUACAAGCAGUGGGAGCACGCUUAGGCGUGUGACUGCGUACCUUUUGUAUAAUGGGUCAGCGACUUAUAUUCUGUAGCAAGGUUAACCGAAUAGGGGAGCCGAAGGGAAACCGAGUCUUAACUGGGCGUUAAGUUGCAGGGUAUAGACCCGAAACCCGGUGAUCUAGCCAUGGGCAGGUUGAAGGUUGGGUAACACUAACUGGAGGACCGAACCGACUAAUGUUGAAAAAUUAGCGGAUGACUUGUGGCUGGGGGUGAAAGGCCAAUCAAACCGGGAGAUAGCUGGUUCUCCCCGAAAGCUAUUUAGGUAGCGCCUCGUGAAUUCAUCUCCGGGGGUAGAGCACUGUUUCGGCAAGGGGGUCAUCCCGACUUACCAACCCGAUGCAAACUGCGAAUACCGGAGAAUGUUAUCACGGGAGACACACGGCGGGUGCUAACGUCCGUCGUGAAGAGGGAAACAACCCAGACCGCCAGCUAAGGUCCCAAAGUCAUGGUUAAGUGGGAAACGAUGUGGGAAGGCCCAGACAGCCAGGAUGUUGGCUUAGAAGCAGCCAUCAUUUAAAGAAAGCGUAAUAGCUCACUGGUCGAGUCGGCCUGCGCGGAAGAUGUAACGGGGCUAAACCAUGCACCGAAGCUGCGGCAGCGACGCUUAUGCGUUGUUGGGUAGGGGAGCGUUCUGUAAGCCUGCGAAGGUGUGCUGUGAGGCAUGCUGGAGGUAUCAGAAGUGCGAAUGCUGACAUAAGUAACGAUAAAGCGGGUGAAAAGCCCGCUCGCCGGAAGACCAAGGGUUCCUGUCCAACGUUAAUCGGGGCAGGGUGAGUCGACCCCUAAGGCGAGGCCGAAAGGCGUAGUCGAUGGGAAACAGGUUAAUAUUCCUGUACUUGGUGUUACUGCGAAGGGGGGACGGAGAAGGCUAUGUUGGCCGGGCGACGGUUGUCCCGGUUUAAGCGUGUAGGCUGGUUUUCCAGGCAAAUCCGGAAAAUCAAGGCUGAGGCGUGAUGACGAGGCACUACGGUGCUGAAGCAACAAAUGCCCUGCUUCCAGGAAAAGCCUCUAAGCAUCAGGUAACAUCAAAUCGUACCCCAAACCGACACAGGUGGUCAGGUAGAGAAUACCAAGGCGCUUGAGAGAACUCGGGUGAAGGAACUAGGCAAAAUGGUGCCGUAACUUCGGGAGAAGGCACGCUGAUAUGUAGGUGAAGUCCCUUGCGGAUGGAGCUGAAAUCAGUCGAAGAUACCAGCUGGCUGCAACUGUUUAUUAAAAACACAGCACUGUGCAAACACGAAAGUGGACGUAUACGGUGUGACGCCUGCCCGGUGCCGGAAGGUUAAUUGAUGGGGUCAGCGCAAGCGAAGCUCUUGAUCGAAGCCCCGGUAAACGGCGGCCGUAACUAUAACGGUCCUAAGGUAGCGAAAUUCCUUGUCGGGUAAGUUCCGACCUGCACGAAUGGCGUAAUGAUGGCCAGGCUGUCUCCACCCGAGACUCAGUGAAAUUGAACUCGCUGUGAAGAUGCAGUGUACCCGCGGCAAGACGGAAAGACCCCGUGAACCUUUACUAUAGCUUGACACUGAACAUUGAGCCUUGAUGUGUAGGAUAGGUGGGAGGCUUUGAAGUGUGGACGCCAGUCUGCAUGGAGCCGGCCUUGAAAUACCACCCUUUAAUGUUUGAUGUUCUAACGUGGACCCGUGAUCCGGGUUGCGGACAGUGUCUGGUGGGUAGUUUGACUGGGGCGGUCUCCUCCUAAAGAGUAACGGAGGAGCACGAAGGUUGGCUAAUCCUGGUCGGACAUCAGGAGGUUAGUGCAAUGGCAUAAGCCAGCUUGACUGCGAGCGUGACGGCGCGAGCAGGUGCGAAAGCAGGUCAUAGUGAUCCGGUGGUUCUGAAUGGAAGGGCCAUCGCUCAACGGAUAAAAGGUACUCCGGGGAUAACAGGCUGAUACCGCCCAAGAGUUCAUAUCGACGGCGGUGUUUGGCACCUCGAUGUCGGCUCAUCACAUCCUGGGGCUGAAGUAGGUCCCAAGGGUAUGGCUGUUCGCCAUUUAAAGUGGUACGCGAGCUGGGUUUAGAACGUCGUGAGACAGUUCGGUCCCUAUCUGCCGUGGGCGCUGGAGAACUGAGGGGGGCUGCUCCUAGUACGAGAGGACCGGAGUGGACGCAUCACUGGUGUUCGGGUUGUCAUGCCAAUGGCACUGCCCGGUAGCUAAAUGCGGAAGAGAUAAGUGCUGAAAGCAUCUAAGCACGAAACUUGCCCCGAGAUGAGUUCUCCCUGACCCUUUAAGGGUCCUGAAGGAACGUUGAAGACGACGACGUUGAUAGGCCGGGUGUGUAAGCGCAGCGAUGCGUUGAGCUAACCGGUACUAAUGAACCGUGAGGCUUAACCUU
rnacentral:rRNA from 1 species